AUUGAACGCUGGCGGCAUGCUUUACACAUGCAAGUCGAACGGCAGCACGGGGGCAACCCCGGUGGCGAGUGGCGAACGGGUGAGUAAUGCAUCGGAACGUGCCCUGUCGUGGGGGAUAACACAUCGAAAGAUGUGCUAAUACCGCAUACGACCUGAGGGUGAAAGCGGGGGACCGUAAGGCCUCGCGCGAUAGGAGCGGCCGAUGUCUGAUUAGCUAGUUGGUGGGGUAAAGGCCUACCAAGGCGACGAUCAGUAGCUGGUCUGAGAGGACGACCGGCCACACUGGGACUGGGACACGGCCCAGACUCCGACGGGAGGCAGCAGUGGGGAAUUUUGGACAAUGGGGGCAACCCUGAUCCAGCCACGCCGCGUGCGGGAAGAAGGCCUUCGGGUUGUAAACCGCUUUUGGCAGGAACGAAACGGAGCGGGCGAAUACCCUGUGCUAAUGACGGUACCUGCAGAAUAAGCACCGGCUAACUACGUGCCAGCAGCCGCCGUAACAC
rnacentral:rRNA from 1 species